UUGACACUCAAUACUUACUUCAAUCUUUAUCUUCAUACUUCUAGCUUGAUCAAACCUAGUUCACUAUCAAGCUCUUCUUGUUCAUGAAAAGCAAGCCAUUGUAGAGACCAAUCCAAGAACAUCAACUCAUGUCUCUUUUGCCAUUUGUCAAAUAUGCUUGCUUUCUCAUGAUGUUAUGAUAUCCCACAGCAUAUAAGCC
rnacentral:lncRNA from 1 species